rnacentral:lncRNA from 1 species
UUUUGUUUCGAAUGAAUAAGCUGGCCCAUUUUGCAACAAAAUGAGUGUAAGGAGUACAAUUGCUAGAGGUCUUGAGUUUAACUCUCACCUUUCCAACUUUUUGUGCAUUUUUUUCUUUUUAUAUGUUUUUACCUUUAUUUCUUUUUUUAUUUAUAUACAAAAUCACAAAAAAUCAAAGAUGGAAUUUUUAUUUUUAAUUUUCGUAUUUUUAAAUUAAGCACUUUUU